rnacentral:rRNA from 1 species
AUUGAACGCUGGCGGCAGGCCUAACACAUGCCAGUCGAACGGUAACAGGAAACAGCUUGCUGUUUCGCUGACGAGUGGCGGACGGGUGAGUAAUGUCUGGGAAACUGCCUGAUGGAGGGGGAUAACUACUGGAAACGGUAGCUAAUACCGCAUAACGUCGCAAGACCAAAGAGGGGGACCUUCGGGCCUCUUGCCAUCAGAUGUGCCCAGAUGGGAUUAGCUAGUAGGUGGGGUAACGGCUCCCCUAGGCGACGAUCCCUAGCUGGUCUGAGAGGAUGACCAGCCACACUGGAACUGAGACACGGUCCAGACUCCUGCGGGAGGCAGCAGUGGGGAAUAUUGCACAAUGGGCGCAAGCCUGAUGCAGCCAUGCCGCGUGUAUGAAGAAGGCCUUCGGGUUGUAAAGUACUUUCAGCGGGGAGGAAGGGAGUAAAGUUAAUACCUUUGCUCAUUGACGUUACCCGCAGAAGAAGCACCGGCUAACUCCGUG